rnacentral:rRNA from 1 species
AGAGUUUGAUCCUGGCUCAGGACGAACGUUGGCGGCGCGUCUAAGGCAUGCAAGUCGAACGGAUCACUUGUUGUAGCAAUAUGAUGAGUGAUUAGUGGCAAACGGGUGCGUAACACAUUAGUAACCUGCCUCGAAGACGGGUAUAACCCCCCGAAAGGGGGAUUAAUCCCCGAUAGUCAUAAGGGACUCGUGUCUUCUUAUGUAAAUACUUCGGUGCUUCGAGAGGGGCUUAUGGUCUAUCAGCUUGUUGGUGAGGUAAUGGCUCACCAAGGCUAUGACGGUUAACGGCUCUUAGCGGAGAGUCCGUCACAAUGGGACUGAGACACGGCCCAUACACCUACGGGUGGCAGCAGUUAGGAAUUUUGCACAAUGGACGAAAGUCUGAUGCAGCGACAUCGCGUUGGAUGAAGGCCUUCGGGUCGUAAACCACUUUUAUUGAUCGUGAAGAUCAUG